UACGGAGGGUGCGAGCGUUGUCCGGAAUCACUGGGCGUAAAGGGCGCGUAGGUGGCGCGGGCAGUCAACGGUGAAAGUUCGGGGCUCAACCCUGAAUCGGCCGUCGAUACUCCCGUGCUUGAGCACUGUAGAGGCAGAUGGAAUUCCGGGUGUAGCGGUGGAAUGCGUAGAGAUCCGGAAGAACACCGGUGGCGAAGGCGGUCUGCUGGGCAGUUGCCGACACUGAGGCGCGAAAGCGUGGGGAGCGAACAGG
rnacentral:rRNA from 1 species